rnacentral:rRNA from 1 species
UUCCGGUUGAUCCUGCCGGAAGCGACCGCUUUUGGAGUUCGACUAAGCCAUGCGAGUCGAGAGCUUUCGGAGCUCGGCAUACUGCUCAGUAACACGUGGAUAACCUGCCCUAUUGUCUGGAAUAACCUCGGGAAACUGAGAACAAAGCUGGAUAACCCACAAUGCCUGGAACGGUUUGUGGGUGAAGAUAGGGUGGGUCUGCGGCGUAUCAGGUCGUAGGGGGUGUAAUGGACCUCCUAGCCAUCGACGCGUACGGGUGUUGGGAGACAUAGCCCGGAGAUGGAUUCUGAGACACGAAUCCAGACCCUACGGGGUGCAGCAGGCGCGAAAACUUCACACUGCAGGAAACUGUGAUGAGGGAACUCCAAGUGCUAUCACUAUGUGGUAGCUUUUCUUAACUAUUAAUCGGUUUUGGAAUAAGGGCUGGGAAGGACCGGUGCCAGCCGCCGCGGUAAUACCGGCAGCUCAAGUGGUCGUCGCUUUUAUUGGGCCUAAAACGUCCGUAGCCUGUUUGGUGAAUCUGUGGGUAAAUCAACCAGCUUAACUGGUUGAAUUCUGCAGAGACUGCCAGACUAGGGACCGGGAGAGGUGUGGGGUACUCUAGGGGUAGGGGUAAAAUCCUGUCAUCCUUAGAGGACCACCAGUUGCGAAGGCGCCACACUGGAACGGAUCCGACGGUCAGGGACGAAGCCUAGGGGCACGAACCGGAUUAGAUACCCGGGUAGUCCUAGGUGUAAACGCUGUGAACUUGGUGUCGGGGAUCCGUAAUGGGUUCUCGGUGCCGGAGUGAAGAUGUUAAGUUCACUGCCUGGGGAGUACGGUCGCAAGGCUGAAACUUAAAGGAAUUGGCGGGGCAGCAC